rnacentral:rRNA from 1 species
CCUACGGGGGGCAGCAGUAAGGAAUAUUGGUCAAUGGGUGCAAGCCUGAACCAGCCAUGUCGCGUGAAGGAUGACGGCCCUAUGGGUUGUAAACUUCUUUUGUACGGGAAAAAACCUCUGGUCGUGAAUCAGAGCUGAUGGUACCGUAAGAAUAAGCAUCGGCUAACUCCGUGCCAGCAGCCGCGGUAAUACGGAGGAUGCAAGCGUAAUCCGGAUUCAGUGGGUGCAAACGGUGCGCUAGGGGAGUGGUGAAAGCCUACAGCUUAACUGUAGAACUGCCAUUGAUACUGUUAUUCUUGAGUGUUGUUGAGGUAGGCGGAAUGUGUCAUGUAGCGGUGAAAUGCUUAGAUAUGACACAGAACACCGAUCGCGAAGGCAGCUUACCAAGCAACAACUGACGCUCAUGCACGAAAGCGUGGGGAUCAAACAGGAUUAGAUACCCUGGUAGUC